UGCGUACCUUUUGUAUAAUGGGUCAGCGACUUAUAUUCUGUAGCAAGGUUAACCGAAUAGGGGAGCCGAAGGGAAACCGAGUCUUAACUGGGCGUUAAGUUGCAGGGUAUAGACCCGAAACCCGGUGAUCUAGCCAUGGGCAGGUUGAAGGUUGGGUAACACUAACUGGAGGACCGAACCGACUAAUGUUGAAAAAUUAGCGGAUGACUUGUGGCUGGGGGUGAAAGGCCAAUCAAACCGGGAGAUAGCUGGUUCUCCCCGAAAGCUAUUUAGGUAGCGCCUCGUGAAUUCAUCUCCGGGGGUAGAGCACUGUUUCGGCAAGGGGGUCAUCCCGACUUACCAACCCGAUGCAAACUGCGAAUACCGGAGAAUGUUAUCACGGGAGACACACGGCGGGUGCUAACGUCCGUCGUGAAGAGGGAAACAACCCAGACCGCCAGCUAAGGUCCCAAAGUCAUGGUUAAGUGGGAAACGAUGUGGGAAGGCCCAGACAGCCAGGAUGUUGGCUUAGAAGCAGCCAUCAUUUAAAGAAAGCGUAAUAGCUCACUGGUCGAGUCGGCCUGCGCGGAAGAUGUAACGGGGCUAAACCAUGCACCGAAGCUGCGGCAGCGACACUAUGUGUUGUUGGGUAGGGGAGCGUUCUGUAAGCCUGCGAAGGUGUACUGUGAGGUAUGCUGGAGGUAUCAGAAGUGCGAAUGCUGACAUAAGUAACGAUAAAGCGGGUGAAAAGCCCGCUCGCCGGAAGACCAAGGGUUCCUGUCCAACGUUAAUCGGGGCAGGGUGAGUCGACCCCUAAGGCGAGGCCGAAAGGCGUAGUCGAUGGGAAACAGGUUAAUAUUCCUGUACUUGGUGUUACUGCGAAGGGGGGACGGAGAAGGCUAUGUUGGCCGGGCGACGGUUGUCCCGGUUUAAGCGUGUAGGCUGGUUUUCCAGGCAAAUCCGGAAAAUCAAGGCUGAGGCGUGAUGACGAGGCACUACGGUGCUGAAGCAACAAAUGCCCUGCUUCCAGGAAAAGCCUCUAAGCAUCAGGUAACAUCAAAUCGUACCCCAAACCGACACAGGUGGUCAGGUAGAGAAUACCAAGGCGCUUGAGAGAACUCGGGUGAAGGAACUAGGCAAAAUGGUGCCGUAACU
rnacentral:rRNA from 1 species